rnacentral:rRNA from 1 species
AUUGAACGCUGGCGGCAGGCUUAACACAUGCAAGUCGAGCGGAGCGAGGGUGCUUGCACCUUAGCUUAGCGGCGGACGGGUGAGUAAUGCUUAGGAAUCUGCCUAUUAGUGGGGGACAACAUUCCGAAAGGAAUGCUAAUACCGCAUACGUCCUACGGGGGAAAGCAGGGGAUCUUCGGACCUUGCGCUAAUAGAUGAGCCUAAGUCGGAUUAGCUAGUUGGUGGGGUAAAGGCCUACCAAGGCGACGAUCUGUAGCGGGUCUGAGAGGAUGAGCCGACACACUGGGACUGAUACGCGGCCAAGACUCAUACUGGCGGCAGCACGGGGGAAUAUGGGACAUUUGGCGGAAGCCUGAGCCAUCCAUGCCGCGUGUGUGAAGAAACCCUUUUGAUUUUAAAGCACUUUAAGCGAGGAGGAGGCUACCUGGAAUAAUACUCUAGGAUAGUGGACGUUACUCGCAGAAUAAGCACCGGCUAACUCUGUGCCACCAGCCGCCGUAAGAC